GGUUGCAUAUUAAUGCUCUACCUGCCUGUUAGAAGUGCAGACAGCUGACCUGAGAACAGAAGGUAGAGAACACGUGUCACGCCAUAGGUAUCAGAGUCCACUGGCCCAGCACUUCAGCAAGCCUCACAUCAUGACGGGGAGCAGGCUGCACAUGAGAAAACCAGCAAACCAGAUCGUUGUGAUCAGUGUGUCUCCUCAUCAAACAAAAUCCUCUCAAAUCUGCACAGCAGGUUCAGCCCCCGGCUAUGUUUGUUUUCCUUGGUUGGAAAACGCUCUGGCUUGCUGGAAAACCCCUUCGUGGCACAGCGGGAAAAUCUGCUCCUCUUCCGCUGUAGUGUACUGUGACAGAGCUUCAUGUCACUAAUGUGGGUAAGGCAGAGUGACAGAGCCUGCCAGAUCCUUUCCCCUGUUGUCUUCUGAUGGAGUGUCAUUAUGGUUUACAAAACCCACAUGCCUGUACCGCUCAAGUGGUGGCAAGGCCACUAAACAACUAUUUACAAUUCUCAACAUUUGAAGUGUUACAAAUUGUUAUUCACCGACCUAAACAAUGACUGAUUGGCUAUAUAGCUUGUUGAAUGGAGGUUUCAGAGCUCUCAGACAUUACAUUUCACAGAAGAGGGAUUGAAUGUAACCCCUGUGUCACUCCUGGACAUCUCUAAUAGGAUUAAUUUGAGACAACAGUUACAUGCCGCCUUCAAAUAAAUGAGAGGAAAUUCACUAUAUUAUCUCUAUAUCUAGCAUUACCAGACAUAACCACAAGGGGAGGAUAGGUAGCAGAAAUCCCUCGGUUGGGCUCACUUAGGGUGAAGUGACGAUGUCUCAUAGGGAUUUUUUUAAGGUCUAUGUCCCUAGAGGAAAAUGUGUGAUAGCAGUGCAGCAGCUGGAUCUUUCUCCGGUUAUCACUCAUUCUUUCAUACCUCCAUCCCAUUCAUUUUUCCCAUGGGGAUUUGACCCUAUUACAAACACUGUGAGCAUACAAGUUAUUGCACACGUAUACCCUUUAAUCAUGUGUCAUUGGAAAGCUUAGAUUCACACCUAUCCAUCAGACACAUUUUCAGAAUGUUCAGAUGGACAGUACUUUGAUUUUUGACCUCUAGGGUACAUUUCAGAAUUACCUGUAUAAAUUGCUUUAAAAGGGCAAUCCUGUUACAUUUUAAACUUUGUUUGACAUGUGAUUCUGAAAGCUCAUGAAAUUACCUUUCAAAUUAUAUAUAAUAUACAGUAACCAACUUUGAAAGCAUCAACUACAACUAUUGUUUAAAAAUACCCCAUAUUCUGCCAUUGACAUUAGGAUGUUGGAAGCUUAGCCAUAUGUUUUUGGAUUGUAACUUUUGUGACAGAGGCACCACAUUUCACAGAAACAGUUAAAACAGGUUAAAAAAUGGUUUUGUAGAUACAGGGCCAUCGCAGGAUUCAAGCAUUAACCACACUGUCACGUUCUGACCUUUAUUUCCUUUGUUUUGUAUUUAUUUAGUAUGGUCAGGGCGUGAGCUGGGUGGGCAGUCUAUGUUUGUUUUUCUAGGUUUUGGGUAUUUCUAUGUUUCGG